UAAACGCCCUCUGAUUAACCCUUUCCUGGCGUGCGAUCGCGAAGCGGAGAGCGGGUCGCGGUCUGCCCGGGACCUAGCGGGCUCCGGCCGCGCGGGGCCGACCUGGGGUGCGGAUCUCGGGCGGCCGCGCGGCGCUCCUGCCCGCAGGGCGGCUUCUCCCUGAGGCAACCCUUCGGGCAGCUACCGCAAUCUGGCCCUACCGUUUUCCCCCUCACUUGUUGACUCCUUGAAAGUAGGACCAGAUCUCGUUCGUCCUUCCACCGUCCCCGAGGCUGGCAAAGCUGGUCCGGAGCAGGAGAUCAGAAAAUAAUCUUGGAAGGACAAUAAGCGAUUAACGAAGUUAUGUUCUACACGGAGUUCAAAAACAAAGUUGGGAAAGCAUUGAAGAAAACUGUAGAGAAGAAACAAAUGUUAGAGAGAAAAAUGAUGACAGUGGCAAGAAGGCUCUCUGGCAUAGAAGGUACCAUUUGUUAAUAUUAUUGAAGAUCAGGAGUGGUAUUCUAAGCAUUUGACAUCUUAAUAUGAUGGCUUAUUUUGGAGAGUCUGGGUGGCUUAGUCUGUUAAGUGUAAGGCUCUUGGUAGGGACUCAGAUCAUGACCUCAGAGGGGCGAGAUUCAGCCCAGGCUCAGGCUCUGCUUGGGAUACUUUAUCUUUCCCUCUGUCACUCCCCCACUCCACCCACUUCUCCCUCUUAAAAAAAAAAAAAA